rnacentral:rRNA from 1 species
UACGGAAGGCAGCAGUGGGGAAUAUUGCACAAUGGGCGCAAGCCUGAUGCAGCCAUGCCGCGUGUAUGAAGAAGGCCUUCGGGUUGUAAAGUACUUUCAGUCGUGAGGAAGGUGUUAAGGUUAAUAACCUUAGCAAUUGACGUUAGCGACAGAAGAAGCACCGGCUAACUCCGUGCCAGCAGCCGCGGUAAUACGGAGGGUGCGAGCGUUAAUCGGAAUUACUGGGCGUAAAGGGCACGCAGGCGGUUAAUUAAGUUGGAUGUGAAAAUCCCCGGGCUUAAACCUGGGAAAUGGCAUUCAAGACUGGUUAGCUAGAGUCUUGUAGAGGGGGUAGAAGUUCCAUGUGUAGCGGUGAAAAUGCGUAGAGAUGUGGAAGGAAAUACCGGUGGCGAAAGGCGGCCCCUGGACAAAAGGACUGACGCUCAUGUGCGAAAGCGUGGGGACGCGAAAACAGGGAUUUUAAGGAUACCCGUACUUCGGAAGAACCUGGGUACCCAAA